AUGUCGAAAAAAUCAAAGUCAACUUAUGAAUUAUGGAAUUGAUUUUUUUAACAAUCUUUAAAGGUUUUUUCAGUGUUACUAUUUUUGGAUUCAUUGCCAAUCAAUGAAGUAGUGCUUUUAACUAUUAACAGAUGAACUCCUUCAGAUAUGUCUCCUUGUUAAUAGUUUAUUGUUUGAUUAUGUUAAUGUGAAAAGUUCAUUUUAACACAAGCUAAGGGGCUGUAGAUUUUGGUAAUGCAUAUCUUGAUUCUAAAAACCUGAG
rnacentral:lncRNA from 1 species